CCAGCUUUGUGACAUCCCUGCGGAUUCUCUCUGAGUCACAGGGACCUCGCCCGAAGCUCCGCUCACCAGGAACAACAGUGUGCUUGCGUGUCAGAUGGUGGCGGCAAACCCCUGACGACAAAACUCGACGGGGAAUGUUUUCCAUGCCUAAGAUGGUCAGAUUUGUGUGGGGGGAACGCUGCAUAAAUCACACGUGGAGGGAAGAUGUGGCUGGAUGGAAGCCAGAUCGACCGUCCGCUGGGCCCAACAGAGCACGAGGACUUUUGCCACUGGUCUGAGAUGUUCUGAUGCAACGCCAUCUGUGAGUUUCCCAAUCAGAGCUGACGUCAGAGGCAGAGUGUGGCUGAGAAACGCUCGUUAAACGACUGAUGACUCACGCUGAGGCUCCUCUCUCUCCUCCCCUCUCCAAAGACCAUCUUCAUCAUUAAGGGUAUGUCGAAGGUCACUGGUUGUAGUCUCCCAUAACUUCUAGGAAGCAGCUUUCCAAGGAGCAUGCAAAAGAAAAAUGUCUGCUUCUAUAUUUGAUUGUGCGCUGCCACAUUAAAACUGUAUGUGUUUGGGUGUGUACGUGAAAGAGA